AACGAACGCCGGCGGCAGGCCUAACACAUGCAAGUCGAGCGAGGUAGCGAUACCUAGCGGCGGACGGGUGAGUAACGCGUGGGAACGUACCCUUUGGUUCGGAAUAGCCCUGGGAAACUGGGAGUAAUACCGGAUACGGUCGAGAGACGAAAGAUUUAUCGCCGAAGGAUCGGCCCGCGUUGGAUUAGGUAGUUGGUGGGGCAAUGGCCUACCAAGCCGACGAUCCAUAGCUGGUUUGAGAGGAUGAUCAGCCACACUGGGACUGAGACACGGCCCAGACUCCUACGGGAGGCAGCAGUGGGGAAUCUUAGACAAUGGGCGCAAGCCUGAUCUAGCCAUGCCGCGUGAGCGAUGAAGGCCUUAGGGUUGUAAAGCUCUUUCAGGGGGGGAAGAUAAUGACUGUACCCCCAGAAGAAGCCCCGGCUAACUCCGUGCCAGCCGCCGCUGUAAAAC
rnacentral:rRNA from 1 species